GAUCCCGUAGCUCAGUUGGUAGAGCGAUUGACUCUUAAUCAGUAUGUCGUGUGUUCGAAUCACACCGGGAUCA
rnacentral:tRNA from 8 species